rnacentral:rRNA from 1 species
CAGUCGCCGCGGUAAUACGAAGGGGGCUAGCGUCGCUCGGAUUUACUGGGCGUAAAGGGCGCGUAGGCGGACAGUUAAGUUGGGGGUGAAAGCCCGGGGCUCAACCUCGGAAUUGCCUUCAAUACUGGCUGUCUUGAGUGUGAGAGAGGUGUGUGGAACUCCGAGUGUAGAGGUGAAAUUCGUAGAUAUUCGGAAGAACACCAGUGGCGAAGGCGACACACUGGCUCACUACUGACGCUGAGGCGCGAAAGCGUGGGGAGCAAACAGGAUUAGAUACCCGUGUAGUCCCUGUCUCUUAUAA